rnacentral:misc_RNA from 1 species
UAGCUUCACACGCCUACCAUGUGUUCGGGUAUUACGUCUGUCAUGUUCACCAUUGUUCAGUCACUUUUGAAGUUUAAUCUAUUCAUUGCCUGAAAUUUAGGUUCUUUUAAAGUUUGUAUCUGCGUUUGUCACGUUAUCAUUACCCCAUUACCCUUUUCAACCAUCGUGGUUUAAUCGCAAACCAUUAAAAUAUCAUACUAUGGCAGAUCCAAGAAUUAAAACUUUGAAAAUUAAAACAGGUGUAGUAAGGAGGUUAGCUAAAGAGAAGACUGUUUACGAGAAGGAAGCCGAUCAGCAGAAAAACAGAAUUGAGAAACUCAAGGCAGAUAAACGUGACGAGCACGACAUUAAGAAACAGGAAGAAGUUUUAGCAGAAUGCUUGAUGAUGGUACCAGAUUGCCAAAGGAGAUUGUUUAAAGCUUUUGAGGAAUUAAGAGGCAUUUUGGAAACUGAGCAAGAUUUAAAAGAAACAGAAGAGUUUGCAGCUGCUCAAAAGGUGCUUGAAGAAGCAAAACAACAAUUGCCUGCUGCUGGAGAGGUUCACAUGUGCUAGUUCUCCGUCAACUACUUAAACCGGACAAUAUUUUUUUACAUUUUAUAAUAAUAUUCCUAAAUUCUUUUCAUUAAAAAUAGGCUGCGAAUUGCUACUAAGAACACUUAGUUUUAAUUAAUUUUAGUUAAUUUUAAAUAAUUAGUUACGUAUGCAUUAGGCUUUAAUUUUAUUAAUAUUUAACUGUUUGUUUAUUAAUAUUUUCUCGUUGAAAGUGCUUGUUAGUAACUGCGACAUGAGUUUUUUCGGGUUUCACCAACCGACCACCAGCCGACAUGCUUCUGAAGUAGCUUCACAGAUUUUCCAGAAAAACUUGGAUAAAACAAAUGUUUUAGAUGACAUAUACAAUAAGUCUAAUGAUGAGCUCUGGAUUGAAACAUGGCUCCAACAAAACAACAUCUAUCGACCACUUCCAAGCUUUAAAAACAUUAAUGUUCCUCCGAAUGCAUUGAAUUUACAUCAGGCCAAAGCACAUUUGUGUAAAAGCGCCAAUCUGCUGGAAAAACUAAAUAAGAUUCAUCAAAUUUUAGAAGAAAAUGCAACGUCGAUGUCAUCUGAAGACUGGAAGCAGAAUAUGAUAGAAAUCGGUACCAUGAAGGACGAAUUCACAAAAUUAAUGUGUCAAUUCGAUAAUCCGGAAAUAUUAACUUAUUUGAAAGUAUCAAUGAGAAAAAGAAGGAAAAAGAGACUGAACGAUAGGAAAAGGCGGGAUCAAAAAUUAAUUGAAAAGCAGAGAGCAACUGAGGAUCGUAAUAAGUUACAUCUGGAAAUUGAUCAAUGGUUAAACCAUAAGAUGGAGGAAGUGGAGAAGACCAAAAUGGAGGAAGCGAUGCAAAAGGAUGCUGAUUCGGUUCUUUCCGAAGUAACCAAGAAAAAAUCAGACGCCCGGAAGCAAUUGUCACUCAUUAGUUCGCUAAUAAAGCUGCGAACCGUCCGAGAAAAUACAGCAAACCAGCGAGGCGAAAAAACGUCUUUACAAGAUCGAAGGGCCUUCAAUGUGACUACAGAAAAAUUAAUCACAAUGUGGGAAAAUAGUUUUCAGGUGUAUUUGAAGGAGGAACAAGGACUUAAGCUAAUGCUAGAAAAGAAUCAAACGGAAGACUCGAAACAGGCUAAAUUAGCAAAGGAGCGCCGGCUUGUAGAGGAAUGGAAAACUGUGUUGUUCGGACAAUCGCACGCUGUACCUUCAAAUCACCCCACAUAUUGGGCACUGACCGCAGCCGAGAGAGAAUUGGAAACAUUUAUCGCUAUUCGGAAAAGCUGGGACACUUUUUUAACUUCUCCGCACAGUGAAAAUGGUUCCAAAAUUCCCAUCGGAUGGAUUUUGCCUGAUCAAAAUACCAGAGACGCAUGG